rnacentral:lncRNA from 1 species
GUGCCGAUGGGAAAGCAACCGAAUAUGACCAAGUCCAGAAGAGAUUGUAUGUUCGUGCCGAUGAAUAGUGCCGAUGGUUGCCGAUGGCUGUAACAAGUGGUCUGCCGAUGCUUAUGAAAAAAGAUGCAAGGAUUGCCGAUUGGCUCAUGACAGUGUAUCGAUCGGUUGUGGAUGAUAGUUUAAUGUUUUCCUUAGUUAUUAGAGUUCGUCUUGUAUACGGAUUCCGUUUAAUUUGGAAUUUGAGUCCUAGUCGUGUCUGGUUGUAACUCUUUGGACAGGGUAUAAGUGUAGACCCUAGGGCAAUAUAAUGAAAUAUCUAUCAAUCAAUCAAACACAAGUUUUUACACAUAUUCCAUCAUCUACUUUUUCGACGACUUGGUCAUAUUUUCUUUUUACUACGAGUUCUUAGGAAUUCGUCGAGUCAAACUUGACACAGAUUCAAGAUCAAGAUCAACAUGUCGAACACCGAUUUUGACUUGG